AAAAAUAUACAUUUUACUGUCAGUUUGUAUAUUUUUAGAAAUCGUUCAAUAUUUGCUUUACGUCACUCUGAUUUUUGGGUUAACUUCUGGCGCUCGCCGGUUUGCAAAUGAAGUCAAUUAGACUGCCUUUUUAUUGCGUUCCGUUCGUUGGUUUUGAUUUGCCGGCAAUCAGCGGCACGCCUCACCUCAUAAAGGUGUAUUUUGUGGGUUAUAGGGUAUGUUGCUAUAGAGAACCGAAUUGGCACUUGGUAAUUUCAAGUUCAGGCAAACAAAAGCAAGCGCAACAAACGAGCUUCAAGUAACAACUGAGAGCGGUGCCAGCAAAUUCAUUAAGCGAAUGGUCGCCUGUUCACACAAAGCCGAAAUGGUUGGUAACUGGAGCACGGCAUCGACUUGGUACGUUAGAAAAUAGUAGCAACUAGAAACGGGCCAUGCAACAUUGAUAGCGGAAGGAAACGAGGCCACACUCAAAACGCAACGCAACAAAACACGGAGAAGUGUAACGAAAUAAUAUGAAUAAUUAAAAUGCCCAACUAAUUGUGCUGCUCUCUAAACCCCACACGCGGUACGUUGCAAACUAAUAGGCUAUGCAAUCUAAACGGUAGGGUGAGCGAUUUGGCCAGCAAUUAUUUAGCAGCCCUCCGAGAACUCAAGGCAUUUAAAUAAUGCAAAUUGAAAAGUGAAAACCGGAAAGUUCAGCAUGUUUAUAUAAAGGCUCGAUGAAAAUCUUAAAGUUUUGCAAUUGAAAUGGGAAUUUUAUUGACAUAAAUUAAGAAAUUGUAAAUGCAAUAUACUCAUGAGCAUACAGGUGCUUUCAAAUCACCAGGAACUAAUGGAUACUCACAAGUGGCACAUCUUUAUCAUUGUUGUUAUUUAUUCCUUAGGUUUUUUUCUUUCAACCUAAGGCUUUCUAAUUGUCCAGAACUCACCAAAUUGUCCGCAGACACUUAGUUAAAGUUAAGAGCACUGUGAAACCUUUUGUGCAACUGAGCCGAAAAAUCCAAAAAACGUAGUUUUGGAAAAGCUUAACAUAAGUGAGCAGCGCAACGAGGCGUAGAGAAACCCAUUUCGCACAUUUAUGGCCAAUCGCUAGACAAAUUGGCGAUGCGAUGCGGUAAGAGGCGCCAGUGAAGCGCAACGCACGUUCUCGAGCUUAGUCUUCAACACUGAUUCAGAGGAUCGUCACUGAAACCAAACAGCAAAGCAUUUCCCCAAGUAAUUCGGAUAUUUUGUGCACUUACCGACCGACGGAUUGGAAAGCGGUUCUCACUGAGCGGUCGCUCGUUCUCCAAAUUGCGCCGCAUCGACGCAUCUGGCGACUUGUACGGACGAGCGCUGCCGACGAGCAGCUGGCGCUGAUUCGCGAGUUCCUUGGUGGAUUUUGAGGGGUUGGGAGGCAGUACCCCCCGCUCUGCAGGAAGCUCCUUCUCCUCCCCAUGCUGCUGCUCCUCCUCCCCAACCAGGUGCAAGUCCAAGUGAAGUUCUUCGUUUUGGCCGCCGGUUGCCAAGGAAGACGAUUGUGUGGCGGGUUCAUUGGACUCCGUGCACUCCUUAAACUCCUUGGCCCUGCGACAUUGCACUUUGAAGUCGUCGGACUUUACUAGCUGGGCGGCGGGGCAGGGAUUUUGGGUGGCCAGGCGCUGGCGCUCCUUUUGCAGUUGUUGGCGUUCCAGGGAAAGGAAUUCUUGCAGAUCCAUUUCUAAAUCAACAGAUUGUGAAGAGCGUCAUUAAAAUAGACAAAGUACAUGA